UUCACCUAUAACAUGGUAAGAUUUUUUGGCUCUCGAGGACAGCGUGAUAUCGUAGUAGAGGUGUAUUUGCUUAUAAUUCAGUAUUAAAAAUUAGGGGCCCAAUCAAGUCUCAGUUUACUUCACUGGGUAUCGGAUCAGGCCUUAGUAUGUUUGUUUGAUAUUUUUGGUCUACAUUGUGUUUAGCCCUCAUAAUGUCAGUUUCUUUUUUUUUAAAUGAACUGGCAUCGGUUGAGAACUUUGUCACUAUGUGGUGGUCAAGAGAAGAUUCCAUUUGAGUGCUUGUGGUUUCAGAAAUGCAGAGUGGUUGUGCCAUAAUAUGAGCACUCCGUAGUAAGAAGUGGAAUGUCAAAUUGGAGCAUAGUGCAAUUUGCUGAAAAUCAUGUUAAUUUGCACCUUGCUGUUCUGUUGCUCCCCAAUCAUCUCCCCUAAAAAGGCAGGUUCUACUUCCUCUGAGCCAAGAUUUAAAAGCUGAGGGUGUAGUUAGUUGCCAUAUUAUAUUUUGUAAAAAUAAAUUAUAUUACAGAUAAUUACAGUAAAGUAUCAAAUAAAAUGGAACUAUAACUUAUUAGAAAUUAACCAUGUGCAUUUGAUGAUGCAUUAGUCUUUCUUUUAAUUAUUUAUUCACUUACUUGCUAAUUCACAAAGGAUCACUCUAUUGUUAGUGUAAAUAAAUAGGGGUCUACUGUGUUCAGAGGGUAGAGGUGGUCUUAGGUCUCAAGUGCAGGAUGGAAAAUCAGGAGAUCCAAGUUCUGUUCUCAGCCUUGCCACAGACAUAUUGUGUGAUUUUGUAGAAGACAUUUGAUCUCUUUGUGUAAUUAGUAUUUGUAAAAUGGCUUGAGAAUCUUGAAUGGAAGACUUUAUACUGUAGAAGUGUACAGUAUUAUUGGUGUUAUUCAUAUAUUUAUACUUAAAUCCAUAAACAUUUUUAGAAAGAAUAAUAUGUUACUGAAAUAUCUCUGAAUAUUUAAAAGGAUCCUUAAAUUAAAUCAUGUAUCCUGACUUUUCAUCCA